UACGGGGGGGGCAAGCGUUGUUCGGAAUUACUGGGCGUAAAGGGCUCGUAGGCGGCCAACUAAGUCAGACGUGAAAUCCCUCGGCUUAACCGGGGAACUGCGUCUGAUACUGGAUGGCUUGAGGUUGGGAGAGGGAUGCGGAAUUCCAGGUGUAGCGGUGAUAUGCGUAGAUAUCGGGAGGAACACCUGUGGCGAAGGCGGCUUUCUGGGCCUUACCUGACGCUGAGACGCGAAAGCGUGGGGAGCGAACCGG
rnacentral:rRNA from 1 species